AAAUAUUUUCUAAUCGUCCUUCCUUUCAGUGGGCACUCCCUGGGCAUAGAUUAACUGUACAUGUUUGUGAGUGGAGAGGAAAGCAUCAGUUUUCAUCUUGAAACUGGUAACCCAUUCCUCUCUAAGAUAGAUCUUUAAGACUGUGAAGAUAGGAUGGUGUGAUGAGAUGAGACAUCUACGGUGGCUGAAACUCACUACCAACUCCCUAGAAGUAACCUGGCUCUGCUGCUGUGUACAGUUUACAAACCAUACACUCAGUUUUAUGUCUGCCUUAAUUAUACAUAGUGGCCCCGCAGAAGAUCUUGUUUAAAAUGAAGGCAAGAGUAGACUUCCUAUGUGUAUAUAUUCAAGGAGAGCCUUUGUAUACCUGGUAACAUGACUGCCCAGCUCUGAACUAGGUGUUCAGGGUCUGAAGAUGAAAUCAUCAGAGAAGGUGUGUAGGUAGCCUCGGAAUGUAAGGACGAUGGGGCUAUCAAAUACCCUAAAUUAUAUCAACUCAGAGCUUAAAAGGAU
rnacentral:lncRNA from 1 species